AACCUGCGGAAGGAUCAUUAACGAGUUUUGAAAGGGGUUGUAGCUGGCCUUCCGAGGCAUGUGCACGCCCUGCUCAUUCCACUCUACACCUGUGCACUUACUGUGGGUCUCAGGCGAGCGUCGGUCGCUUCGCGGCGUCGUCGUUCAACUGGGCUCACGUUUUACUACAAACUAUUAAAGUAUCAGAAUGUCUACUGCGAAUUAACGCAUUUAAAUACAACUUUCAGCAACGGAUCUCUUGGCUCUCGCAUCGAUGAAGAACGCAGCGAAAUGCGAUAAGUAAUGUGAAUUGCAGAAUUCAGUGAAUCAUCGAAUCUUUGAACGCACCUUGCGCUCCUUGGUAUUCCGAGGAGCAUGCCUGUUUGAGUGUCAUGAAAUUCUCAACCUAACGAGUCUUUGCGGGCUCGGUAGGCUUGGACUUGGAGGUUCUUGUCGGCCUAACGGUCGGCUCCUCUUAAAUGCAUUAGCUCGGUUCCUUGCGGAUCGGCUCACGGUGUGAUAAUUGUCUACGCCGCGACCGUUGAAGCGUUUUGGCCGGCUUCUAAUCGUCUCGUUGGAGACACUACUCUUUAUGACCUUCUGACCUCAAAUCAGGUAGGACUACCCGCUGAACUUAAGCAUAUCAA
rnacentral:rRNA from 1 species